CGAAGGGAGGCCUCCGAGUGAGUCCUUUCCGCGGAAGUGGCCGGUCCGCUCGCCUGCCUGCCUCUGUCUCCCCUUGGGCGUUGCCAGCCCUGGGGACGCUGACCCGAGCCCAGGCCUACGCCCCGGUGAGACGUCGGGGCUGGGGGUCGAGGAGGCUGUGCGCGGGGCUGUGCGUCUCCCAGGCAUCUUCCCAGUUGACUCCGCAGCAGCUCUGCAAAAAGCUGCCAUUGUCACCUCGUUUGGGUCAAGAACCUGAGGCUUCUUGCCGGGGGUGGAACAGUCAGUUGGAAGCCAAGCGCUCCUACGGCUCAGAUUUGGCUCCAGGCGGAGCCCGGGUGUGGUCCUCGCGGCAACGCCGCCGGCCCGAGCUGUGACUGACAGCUGUCAAGGCGGGUCACACCCCGACGCGGAGCUCAUCUCCUCGCGAGCCCGCGCACCCUGGUGGAAGCUGAUGGGUUAAAUCUGCACCGAGGCUGAGGGUCCUGGGCUCCCUGACCUCCUAGACGUGCCUGGAGCCCUUUGCUGCCUUUCAAAGUACUCCUGCUCAGGUGCCUGCCACCUGCUCCAAAAUGCACACAGUGUUUUGUUUAGUUUUGGUAAUAAUGCGUGUUGACUGUCUCCCAGGACCCGGGCACUGUCCUAGGCAUUUUACACAACAGCCCUUAAAGAUGGGCAUUUCUGCCCCAUCUUUUGUAGGCUCAGCAGCAGCAAAGUUUACUAACUUGCUAGAAGUCACAGAGCUGGGAUUCCAGCCACCUCUCUCAGCCUCCAUCAGCUCUCUCGACACAGAAGAGCGGCAGAGAAAGCUCCAGGAAUACCUAGCAGCCAAGGGAAAACUGAAGUGCCAAAACACCAAGCCUUAUCUAAAAGCCAAGAAUAAUUGCUCAAAUCCUCCACCUUCUAAAUCUACUAUUAGACCCAAAAAGGAUGUUCCCAACCAUGUUGCUUUGCCUAUCAAAGCUACAAGACCCAUCAGCAUUAAACUUCAGUCCAGACCUGCCAAUAUCACAGGAUCCCAGAGGCCAAAGUUAGAGCCACGAAAACUUCUGGGCAAAAGGCUCACUUCAGAAUGUGUUUCUUCUAACCCAAACUGUAAGCCUUCUGGCAGCAGUCAACAGCAGCAUGAAUUUGGAUUAUCCACUAUUGGACAACUGUCUAGAAAAACCAUGGGGUCACUUAAUAUACAGGAAUUGAAAACUGCAAAGCAGCAGGUGACAGAUCAAGGAACUGCUAAAUUUACAGACUCUGUGGACAAUACCCAUGUUGAAAGUGAAUCCUUGGGUAGCUUUCUAAAAGAGAUGAACAAAGAGAACUUGCCCCAAAUCUUACCAGACUCUACGUGGAAGCCAAAUCCUGAAUUACAGACCAUAAGUAAGCCAAAAACUAAUCUAACCAAGAGCAGUAUGGCUCCUACUAAAGAAGUCUUAGGCAAAAGGUUAGUGAAUGGUGCUGUUCUGAAAGAGAGAAUUAAUAAACAAUUUGUUAGAGAAACACAAAUCAGGAUUCCACCAGUGAAGUCUCAGCAACUCUCUAGAGGAACAGAUCUUACAAGACCAGGGGGAAAGCCCCCCAAAACAGUUCCCUCUCACCUUGUCCAGACACUUAAUAGGACUCAAGCAUCAAAGAAAACAGUGGUUAAGGACAUAAAGAAUAUAAAAAUUAAUAGGGGUAAGUCUCAAAGACCAAAUGAAACUAAGUUACAGCCAUGCACUGUUACUGAACAGAAAGUAAAACACAGCAAACCCAGGACAUACCCCAGUGUACUUCAAGGAGAACGUAGCAGACGUCCAAACACAAAGCAAGAUCAUAAACCCACUCAAGCUUGUUGUAGACCUCAGACAUCUCAUGUACUGCAAAAAUCAAAAGCCAUAGGCCAAAGGCCUAAUCUGACAGUUGGCAGAUUUAAUUCAGUCGUUCCAAGCACCCCUAGCAUAAGAGCAAAUGAAGCCAAUGGGAGUAAAUGCAACAACAGCUGUCAACAAAAAGCACGGACUUUGGACUCCAAGUUGAAAAGGGCUCUUCCCCAGAACUAUUUUCUAAACAAGACAGGUCCCAGAACUCAAGCUGGUGGCACAACCAUAAAUGGAAGAGGAGUCCCAUACGGGACCCAAGCUAAUCCAAAUAAGACCACAGCAGAGGAUCGAAGGAAACAAUUGGAAGAAUGGCAGAAAUCUAAGGGGAAAAUCUAUAAACGGCCUCCUAUGGAAUUUAAAACAAAAAGAAAAGUAAUAGAGGAAAUGAAUAUUUCAUUCUGGAAGAGUAUGGAAAAAGAAGAGGAAGAAAAGAAAGCACAGCUUGAACUGUCCAAUAAAAUUAACAACACUCUGACAGAAUGUCUGCAGCUCAUUGAAGGGGGUGUACACUCUAAUGAAGUAUUUGCCAUUUUGUCCAGUAUUCCUGAGGCUGAAAAAUUUGCUAAAUUCUGGAUCUGCAAAGCAAAGUUGUUGGCAAGUAAAGGCACCUUUGAUGUUAUUGGGCUAUAUGAAGAGGCCAUUAGAAAUGGGGCCAGACCAAUACAAGAGUUGCGGCAAGUUGUGCUUAAUAUUUUGCAAGACCCAAACAGAACUACAGAAGUUGCUGAAACUAACAAAACAUCAGUAGAAAUGCUGGCUGAGAAGAUGGAAUCUGAGACGUCUUGUCUUUCUCCAAAAGAGAGGGAACAGGUUACAGCAACACCCCAAAUAACCAAGUUAGAACAGGAUAAUCAUCCUGGCAUCAAAUUACAGAUCGCCCCGAUCCCUAGAGUAAACGGAAUGCCAGAAGUGCACGACAUGAAGCUGAUCACUCCUGUGCGGCGUUCAGCCAGGAUCGAGCGCGCCGUCUCCCGCUACCCGGAAAUGCUGCAGGAACAUGACCUAGUGGUGGCUUCUCUCAACGAGCUCUUAGAAGUGGAAGAGACAGAGUGUUUUAUAUUCCGCAAAAAUGAGGCUUUGCCUGUAACAUUAGGGUUUCAAGUCCUUGAAGCGUAAUUUCUUGAUGCUUUUUUUUUUAAAAAAAAGCCUCCAUGAAAUAAGAAAUGCACUUAUCCAGGUGACCUGAGAGAUACUAUAUAACAGCGAGGCAUCGUGGAUGCAGACUAUAGGCCCCAGGACUUGGAAAGUAAUUCACUGGGCUUACUCUCAAAUUUUACACCCCCACAGGAAAGCUUGGUAUAUUUAAGACUGUAGUUUGCCACAGUUUCACAGCAUACAUAAAUUUCAAACUUUUGAAAAUUAAUUUACCCCACAAGUAUAGUGAAAAUUUGAAUUUUAUUGAUCUACCUUAAUCCUAGUAUAGUUAUUUUUUAUAUCAGAAGGUCAAUUCCACAAUAUGAUAGACUUUCCUUCCUGCAUCCACCUUAGCAGAGAAAGCAAGUCCUUCCAGCAUGGAAGAUCUGAGCUUAGAAACCAGCCUUCCCCGCUAGGGGGCGCAUGACAGACCACCUGGUGAAAUCCCCUCAUUUUGCAGAUGAGUUUUUAGCGGCUGUGCCUUUGCUCAGAGACCACAAAUGAUUUUUAUAUGUGAUCUUUGACUUCCGUCACAGAUCCCUGGAGAUGAGGGGUGACUCACAUCCUUUCUGUGCCUGGUCUCCUCUAAUGAUACACAAUCCUGAACUGGGGUGGUCAUCUAGCUGUUUAUAUUCAAACCUAAUUUUGCAUUUGUUAUUCAGAAAUGCUUCAAAUAAAAACAAAAGGGAGCAGCAGCGAGGGCUGGGGAGAGGACCCUUGCCUCUUCACUUCAGUUCUCUGCUCUGGCCCGAGAAGACACCUAAGCCCUAGAGACUAUCAUAGGUCACCUUUCCUUCCUCCUGGGCAACUGCUUGUGGAAAGUUUUCCUGUUAUCUGAAAAAUGUCUCAAGUAGAAGAUGACCAUGAUGCCAGCCUACAUCCUGGAUUCAGUCUGCCUCCUCACAGCCCUCCUGAGCCUCGUCUCUCUCUUCACCCUCAGCCUUCCAAGAAACAAAGAAAGCUGAUUAUGAAACCCUCCCAAGUUCACACAGUGACUCCCAACCAGGGGUAGAAAAUGUGUCAAAAUGCCCUAGUCUGGGCUGGGAUGGAGAUGAAGGGGUAGAGAAACCAACACAUCCCCAGAGAACACGCAGUUACAGAUGGGAUUGGGUCCAGCCCUCUGGUGGGUUGGGAGGGAAAAAUAGUUGCAAACCACUGAUUAAAGGUUAUUGAUGUGCUUGAAUUUUGAGCUCCUGGACAGGAGUGGGCAGGAAUAAAGUGGUUUACAAUUCAGUUUCUACCUUGUGGGGCUUGCAGGAGAUGGAAAGAAUGCACACUGAGCCUGGAGCCACCAAGCUAAAGGGAAACUAUGAGAUGGACAUUUUGAAAAUCAAGCCCUGGGAAACGCCAGGGUAGAAACAGGAACGCUCUUGCAGGGUUCAGGGCUGCAGAACCAGGCUAGGAGCCAAGCCUGCCAUUCAGGAAAGCCUGGGUCUCCACUCAAAGGGCAGGUGGGCAGCACAAAGUCACAGAGGGGUCGAAGCAGAAGUCCCUAUACACUGUGUCCAUAAAAGCCGCCUGGCCAGGGAGAGUCUGUGUUCUGCGACCUCUCCCAGAAUGGGAAUGGCUCUGUCAGAGGACUGAGCCGAAAGUGGUGUGGAGAGGUGCCCCAGUACAGUCAGCUGACCCCACUGAGCAGAACCUAUGAGUCUGGGCUGAGAGCCAGUGGUUCUCAGCCCUCUUGGAUCCAAUGCCUCAUUUUAAAACCAAAUAUUUUCU